rnacentral:rRNA from 1 species
AGAGUUUGAUCAUGGCUCAGAUUGAACGCUGGCGGCAGGCCUAACACAUGCAAGUCGAGCGGUAGCACAGAGAGCUUGCUCUCGGGUGACGAGCGGCGGACGGGUGAGUAAUGUCUGGGAAACUGCCUGAUGGAGGGGGAUAACUACUGGAAACGGUAGCUAAUACCGCAUAAUGUCGCAAGACCAAAGUGGGGGACCUUCGGGCCUCAUGCCAUCAGAUGUGCCCAGAUGGGAUUAGCUAGUAGGUGGGGUAACGGCUCACCUAGGCGACGAUCCCUAGCUGGUCUGAGAGGAUGACCAGCCACACUGGAACUGAGACACGGUCCAGACUCCUACGGGAGGCAGCAGUGGGGAAUAUUGCACAAUGGGCGCAAGCCUGAUGCAGCCAUGCCGCGUGUGUGAAGAAGGCCUUCGGGUUGUAAAGCACUUUCAGCGGGGAGGAAGGCGUUAAGGUUAAUAACCUUGGCGAUUGACGUUACCCGCAGAAGAAGCACCGGCUAACUCCGUGCCAGCAGCCGCGGUAAUACGGAGGGUGCAAGCGUUAAUCGGAAUUACUGGGCGUAAAGCGCACGCAGGCGGUCUGUCAAGUCGGAUGUGAAAUCCCCGGGCUCAACCUGGGAACUGCAUUCGAAACUGGCAGGCUAGAGUCUUGUAGAGGGGGGUAGAAUUCCAGGUGUAGCGGUGAAAUGCGUAGAGAUCUGGAGGAAUACCGGUGGCGAAGGCGGCCCCCUGGACAAAGACUGACGCUCAGGUGCGAAAGCGUGGGGAGCAAACAGGAUUAGAUACCCUGGUAGUCCACGCCGUAAACGAUGUCGAUUUGGAGGUUGUGCCCUUGAGGCGUGGCUUCCGGAGCUAACGCGUUAAAUCGACCGCCUGGGGAGUACGGCCGCAAGGUUAAAACUCAAAUGAAUUGACGGGGGCCCGCACAAGCGGUGGAGCAUGUGGUUUAAUUCGAUGCAACGCGAAGAACCUUACCUGGUCUUGACAUCCACAGAACUUUCCAGAGAUGGAUUGGUGCCUUCGGGAACUGUGAGACAGGUGCUGCAUGGCUGUCGUCAGCUCGUGUUGUGAAAUGUUGGGUUAAGUCCCGCAACGAGCGCAACCCUUAUCCUUUGUUGCCAGCGGUUCGGCCGGGAACUCAAAGGAGACUGCCAGUGAUAAACUGGAGGAAGGUGGGGAU